GAUGAACGCUGGCGGCGUGCUUAACACAUGCAAGUCGAACGAGAAGUGAAGACGGAAACCUUCGGGCGGAAGGCUUUAUUUCGAGUGGCGGACGGGUGAGUAACGCGUGGGUAACCUGCCUCAUACAGGGGGAUAACAGUUGGAAACGACUGUUAAUACCGCAUAAGACCACAGCACCGCAUGGUGCGGGGGUAAAAACUCCGGUGGGAUGAGAUGGACCCGCGUUCGAUUAGCCAGUUGGCGGGGUAACGGCCCACCAAAGCGACGAUCGAUAGCCGAUCUGAGAGGAUGACCGGCCACAUUGGGACUGAGACACGGCCCAAACUCCUACGGGAGGCAGCAGUGGGGGAUAUUGCACAGUGGGGGAAACCCUGAUGCAGCGACGCCGCGUGAGUGAAGAAGUAUUUCGGUAUGUAAAGCUCUAUCAGCAGGGAAGAAAAUGACGGUACCUGAGUAAGAAGCCCCGGCUAACUACGUG
rnacentral:rRNA from 1 species